rnacentral:tRNA from 2 species
CAAAAUGUAGCUUAAACAAAGCAUCUCGCUUACACCGAGAAGACACCCGUGAAACCCGGAUCAUUUUGA